rnacentral:rRNA from 1 species
AUACGUAGGGGGCGAGCGUUGUUCGGAAUCAUUGGGCGUAAAGGGCGUGCAGGCGGUCCUGCAAGUCCGGCGUGAAAGACCCCGGCCCCACCGGGGGGACGCGCUGGAAACUGCAGGGCUUGAGUACAGGAGGGGAUGCCGGAAUUCCAGGUGUAGGGGUGAAAUCUGUAGAUAUCUGGAAGAACACCAAUGGCGAAGGCAGGCAUCUGGCCAUGUACUGACGCUGAGACGCGAAGGUGCGGGGAGCAAACAGGUUUAGAUACCCUGGUAGUCCGCACAGUAAACGAUGUGCACCAGGUGGCGGGGGGUCGACCCCCGGUACCGUAGCUAACGCAUUAAGUGCACCGCCUGGGGAGUAUGCUCGCAAGGGUGAAACUCAAAUGAAUUGACGGGG